GCCAAUUCCAAACAGACCUGCCUGAUAUGCC
rnacentral:piRNA from 1 species